rnacentral:rRNA from 1 species
AAGCUUCGGGGAGCCGGAAAGGGCAUAGAUCCGAAGGUAUCCGAAUGGGGGAACCCGAUAGAGAAGCCCUCUAUCAUCUUUAAAUGAAUACAUAGUUUAAAGAAGCAAGACCUGCUGAAGUGACACAUCUCAGUAAGCAGAGGAAAAGAAAUCUAGAAGAGAUUCCCAUAGUAGCGGCGAGCGAAGUGGGAAGAGCCCAAACCAGGAAUUUAUUUCUGGGGUUGUAGGGCCUAUAAUAAAGCGAAAUCGAAUCUAGCAGAAUGGCAUGGAAAGGCCAGCRAAACAGGGUGAGAGUCCCGUAUGCGAAAGAGGAGGCAAGCGAUAUAGGUACCUGAGUAGGACCGGGCACGGGAAAUCCGGUCUGAAACUGGGGGGACCACCCUCCAAGGCUAAAUACUAAAACGAUGACCGAUAGUGAACAAGUACCGCGAGGGAAAGGUGAAAAGAACCCCUGUUAGGGGAGUGAAAUAGAAACUGAAACCAGCAGCUUACAAACGGUCGAAGGCCUAUG